GUUUUCAACGACGACCUUAAAAUUGGAAUGGUAUAGAGAAGAUUAGCAUGGUCCCUACGCAUGGAUGAUACGUACAAAUCAAGAAAGUUAAAAGUUUUCA